GUACUUGAAGUGUUUCCUGUACAAUGCACCACAACUUCAAACCCUGUGCGAAGAAGAGAAUAUGGGUUUCAAACAGGGGAAGAAUGUUGGUCUGAAAAGGAAACUCAAACUCAAAGAAGCAGAUGUUGAUGAAGAAUGGGAAGGACUAACAUUGAAGAGAAGUAAGAAAGAGAAACUUGUUUGCGCAAUCCCUUCGCCAGACCUGCCCGAGAGCUUUAAACAACAUAUAGUUGAAAACAUGGGUGGCUCCGAUUGGGUUUUGGUGAUAAGUCUUUUACUCUGACGUGAACCCUCAAGCCAGUCGCUUCUCCGUGCCGUUUUCACAACUCAAAACUCAUGAGUUUCUCAAUAAAACAGAGGCUGAGGAUUUGGAGGAUGUAAACAACGCCUUGGAAGUGUGCUUGUUAGAACCAUCAAUGAAGGAAACUACUGUGACUUUUAAAAGGUGGAAAUAUAGAGGGAAAAGUUCAAGCUAUGUCAUUACCCGCACGUGGAACUCAGUUGUCAAGAAUAGCCGACUAAAGAUUGACGACAUUGUGCAGCUCUGGUCUUUCCGGGUGAAAUCAAAGUUGUGCUUUGCACUUGUAAAAGUCCAAGUUUGAACAAGAAACUAGGGGAAUGCCCACUGUGGCAACGACGAUAGGAAGUAGGAUGGGAAUUGUAAUCUUAAGUUAGUGCAUUUUCUGAUGCAUUCUAUGACUUUUUUAACUUUUGACAUUUAGACCGUAAAAGGAAAAAGCUAAGUAUCUGACACUUUUGUCUGAUGACUCAUGAAGUUGUAAUUUGUUACACUCAUGUCAUUGGUAAGUAGUACGAUCAUAAAAUAACAUCAUUCAUGACAACGUUAUGGUUUUUGGUAUUUGUUGAUUUAAUGAACUUUUGCUAGCUCUUUAUCUUUCUGUCUUGCCAAGUUGAAGCUGCUUUAUCAUUUGCUUUUGAAAUGUUUAUGAUGUAUUGUUAGGAGAUCAAUUGAUUUAUUUUGUUUAUACUUCCUCCUAUUAAUGUCAAACAAAUAAAAUUUGAACGAUUUUGAUUUGGAAUCAUUUAAAUUUGAUAUUUGAUCGAUUUAAAUUUGUAUCAAUUUGGUUUUAAAUUAUUAAAAUUUGAAAUUGUGUAGCUCUAGAUUUUUCGGGUGAAAUCAAAGUUGUGCUUUAUAUUUGUAAAAGUUCAAGUUUCAACAUAAAAUUAAGAGAAUAUUUGCGCGUUAUUAUCGGAUUCAGUAUCAAAUAUAUAAAGAAAGUAUAUUUUUAUUAAAUUUUGUAUAAAUUAAUGUGUUAUAAUCAUACAAACAUAUAAAUAAUAAAUCUAGUAAUUUUUUAUCUAGAGAAACAUAAAAAUCUUAAUCAAUUUCACCGACAAUUUUAUUUUCUUUGAAGAUCUUUGGUAAUUACUUUUGCUACUUACUCUUUUUUUUUUGUCUAAAAUAAAAAGCAAAAUGAGUAUAGAAAAAUAAAAAGCAAAUAAUAUUUUCAAAGAAUAAAAAAUUUUAAAAAAUAUUUUCUUCCACAACUUAAAACACAAAAUUUUACUUUUAUAUUGAAUAAAGAUUUAUAAUCCAAUGAAUAUAGUUUUGCUUGUAUACUUUAACACAUUUAUAAGUCUAUAUAAAUUCAAGAUACUCAUACCUUGUAGAUGAUCUAAUAAGAUGCUAAACUUGUCAUUAAUGACAUGAUCCUCUCUCAUCCGAUGCCAUUCAAAUUGCCAACAAUCUCUCAAAUCUUGAUCAGACCAAUAACAAAAGGAAUUUUCAAAAAAUGUUUUUAUAAACAUAGAUAUAGAAAAAUGAUAUGUUCGAAAAGGAGAAGAUGUAUUCGGUAUAAAACCACAAUAUAUUAAUCUAGAUUAAGUUUUAAAAUAAUCGAGACUUACAAUUUUAUUCGUAGAUUAUAAAAUUUCAAACAAAUGUGUGUUAAGCUCAAAAAAAAAAUUUAACAUCUUUUAUUUACGUCAAUUAUCAAAUAUAUGCAUGAUACAAAACUUAUGAAAAUUGAAUCCUAUAAUAUUAAAAACCUUCGAGAGACAUUUUGACAAACACCUCUAAAUCAUAAAAAUUAACAGACAAAAAUCAACCAAAAUGGCUCUCUAUUUUUAAAAUUUUACGGCUUGCAUUUUCAACUUGAAAUGAAUAUAAGAACAUGGUAUAAACAGUAAAAUAUCUUGGUAUCCUAAUGAAAGGGGCAAAAAUUUUUGGUCAAAUUCAACCUAAUCGCAGGUAUGAAAACAUAGUUUUUCUUUAUAUGAUCCAAAUUUGCUUUAAAGAAAAUAAUUAAAAGCUUUUAUAUUUAUAUGUAUCUCACUUUUAUCUUGAUUUUUUAAAAACUAAAAUAAAUAUUAUUAAUAUAAUUAAUUUUUGAAAUACCUUCAAAACGGAAGAGCCAUGGAAGCUCAACAUUAAUAAAUUGAGACUCACAUCCAAUAUUCCAUACAAAUGUCUAGUAUUCGUCUCUUGCCACCAAAGAAACCAUAAAAACAUCUCAAAUAAAGACAAUUAAACAGUUGCAAAGUUAAAACAACAAUAAAAAAAAAAAAAAUACCAAUUCUUGGAAUUCAUGAAACAAAAACAUACAUAAAAGAAUUUAAAACAAAAAUAAAAAUAUCUUUAAAAUAUAAACUUAAACAUAAGAAAAAAUAUGAUUUAAAUUAUUUCACAAUAAUCUAUACUCACAACCGAGAAUAUUUAUAAUCAAAUAGAAUCGAUGCACACUAUAUUCCCAAAAUCAAAUUCAACAAAUUUAUCAUAAGGGUUUACUUUUUUUUUUCAUCAUGAAAUGAUUAAAAUUUAAGUUACAAAAAGCAAUUGAAGAUUUUCAUUCAAACUGGUUAUGAAGGAAAACUUCAAAUCACAAAAUUUUUUUAUUUUUUUCCAAUACAGAAAAGCAAUAAGCAAAACUCAUGAUUGUUAAGUAAUGUCUUAAUUACCAUGUAAUAUUAGUCUACUUCAUUAAUGGUACAACAUGAAUCUACAACCUUUUUGGCUCAUAAAUUGGUUUUCGACCAUUGAACAACAGCGAACAAUAAAAAAUAAAAAAAAAAAAAAAGGGCGACGACAGGUUAGGCUCUUGGGUUUAAUAAUAAUAACCGUGCUACUUCCUUGAGUGUGUAUUUUAGUAAGGGCUACCAUAGCUUUUCCAAAAAGGCCAAGACCAUCUACAGAUACACAUAGCUUACAAGUAAAGUCCCCCACUGGGUGCCUAACCGGUCUUGUCGAUGGCAUUAGAAUCGUUUCGUUAAUAUUGUUUAGGGUCAUAUAGCCUUCAAGCCCUCUGCGUUUCACCAAUGCAAAUGGAUACAUAACCACCCUUGUUAUCAUCACCCUUUUCUUCUUCGUAUCAUCACUUCCUUAAACACAUAAAAAAUUAAUGUAAAUAGUUAUGUAUAUACUUUAAAAAAAAAACACUAUGGAUUUCCUUUGUGUCAUUGGAAGAGAAUUUAAUUACCAAAAGAAGAUAUGGGGUUAGUAAAAAAUUAUGUGUCUUUGUUAAAAAAUGACUUGGUCUUGAUUGAUCAUUUGAAAGAAGAAGAAGAUGAAUCAAGAGCUUCAGGGCUAUUUGAUAUUGCCUUUUUUGGUGUUUUUAUCUCUGUAACAAUGUUUGCUCCCUUACUGCUAACUGAUGUGUUCAUUGAUUCAUUUAAAAAUAUGGCAAAAGAAAACGAAAGAGUAAAAGAAAUGGAAAGGAUUAAAAAAAAAUGUCAAAGUACAUCUUUUAUUUAUCACAUUAGCCAUCCGUCACGUUUAUUUAUCUUCACCAUUUUUAACUUUUUUACUUUUUCAUCACAUCACAUUUAUUAUUAUUCUUCCAUCACAUUUAAUGUUAAAUAAAAAUAUCUAUUUCUCUUCAUCCAUCACAUUUACUAUUAUGUUUCUUAUAUAAGAAACAUACUAUGCAUGCAUUUAUCAACUAAUGGCAACAAACCUUUGUGAGCAUGGUAAUAAUUGAUAAGCAAUGUGAAUCCUUACCUGCCAUUGUUUGCCCAAAACUUGUGAUCGAUCCAUUUCAUCAAUAGCAUCAAUCAGAUAUAGUUGCUUUAAAGCAUCUUCUAAUGACUCGGGUACAGUUAAACUAAUCAGAUUAAUCAAUAUCCCAAUUCUAAAAGGAAACAUUGGCAGAAACUGGAAAAGUCAGAUAUUUAACGAAUGAAAAAUUUUAACAGUGACAACUCAAAUGCUUGUUCUUUCUUUCUGCCCAAACAACAAAUGAACACAACAAGAAUGCAUUCUUACAAGGGGGAUCAAGAAAAUCAAACUUCAGAAGAUCGAUAUUAGGGAGAUCCAAUGACUUUAGAUAAAGAACACUGCCAGAAAGAGAAGAUUGCUGUAUUUCAGGAACUGUUACAUCAAGGAACUUGUCAUUGGAAACACUGGAAGGGCAUAAACUAUAGAACUUCCCUGGACAUGUUCUUCCAGCUCAUCCUGCCCGUUGAUUAGCUUGUACCCUCCAGGCAUACAAAAAAAAUGAUGUCAAAAAGAAAGGAAGGAAAGAAAAAAAGAAAUUAUUUGCAAGAAUACUGACAAUUGGUCUCUCAAGUGACAAAAGAAAGACAAGAAUAUAUAACUUGUUGAUACAAAAUGAGAAGAAAAUUGAACUUGCAAACAAAUAAAUACCAAAAACAAAUCACAACUGUAAGUCGUGCUACUAGUAACACAUGAAUAUGCUCCAAAAGCUGAAAGAAACAUUAAGUCAUCCACUUACUUGCUAAUGUUAACAAAAUCAAGGCAAUACAUUCCAGUUGCUGGGUUGUAUUGUCGUUGCUUUACACAAACAGAAUCAAUAAAUACUUAUAUUAGUUUAGAGAGAAGUCAAUCAACAUAUCAAUGCAAUUGAUCUUAUUAACUAAGACCAAGUGUAAAAGCAGGUGGUAGAAUUAGGUAAAUGGUACAACAAUAUCAUAAUAAUAUAGUCAUUAUUGGACCAUAUAUAAGUCUUAAUAUUUAUCAGGACCCUUAGGACCAAAUCUUAGUGCCCUCCCUAGGUAGAAAAUUUACACCUAUAAAAAUUAAGAAACAAAAAGGAACAAGAUAGUAAAACCAAACCUAUAACAUGUAUGUCUCAUUAAAAAAAUUAAGAAACACUCAUACCUUUGAAUGUGAUCCAUGCCUUAUAACAUUACAUAUAUAUACAAAGUCCUCCCACUAUAUUUUCAGAAUAACUUGCUCUACUUAUGUCUAAUUUUACUAGAUUAUUGCACAUAGCACCAAGGAUUGCAUUUCUUCUGGUUUAUAUUUGGCCAUUUUGUUAAUUCUUCAUUUUUAUUUCAAAACAUACAUAAUCAUGACAUUAUAAUAAUUGCUUUGCUAAGAGCAGAAAUAUUCACAUAAUCUUGGCAAAUUAAGUAGGAAAAAGGUUGGUUAAUAAAGAUCAAAAUUAAGGAUAUUUUGUACACAUUAGUAGUACCCAUGCAAUUCAUUGUCUACACUAUCUUCUAUUCAGAAGGAGAAAGAAAAACAAAUACAAAGACAAACAAUAUCAAGCAACAUUUUACGUAUCAAGUUUGCUUACACAACACCAUCAACUGUCAAAUAAGUUUCAGCCAUGUUUGUGACAACAAAAAACACCUACGGUUUGGAGGUGGAGGACUGAAUACACGCAACUGUUGGGUCAUAAUUAUGCAAAUUCAAAACCAUUAAUAUCAUUCCAAGACAAUGUAGCUUAAAUUAAUUUCAUUUCCAAUGGUGCAAAGGAGAAUCGAUUGUGCCAAUAUUGUUGAUAAAAAUCGAAAAAUCACUUUCCUGAUGGAGGAAAAGAAAAGCUGAAAAGGAAAGCAUACCUGCAUUUGAGGUGGCAAGGAACCAUGGAGAGAAGGUUUACGGCAUCCAUGCAGGAGCCUUCAUUUAGACUUCGAACUCUAUUCUCCAGCUUUGAUACCAACUUCUCUAUAUCAUCCUAUAAAUGGCACUCAACUUUAAAAGAAUCAGUAAAAUUAUCAAUGAAUCAAUGCUAUAACCAAGUAGAAGAUACAAGAUAAAUCCGCAUCUAAUGGCACCCCAAGAUGAGAGAGAGAGAGAGAGAGAAAGAGAGCUCACCUGUCCAAUCAUGAAUAUUAAGAUGUCAUACCCCUGGUUGCCAAACAUGCAUACCAGCCAAAACCAAUUACUUAGUAAGACCUCAAAAGAUCAAAACAUGAUUACCAGGAAAAUUUCAGAAACCAAAAGUUUUCUCAUAACAUGAUUAACGGUACCUGGAAACGGAGACGGCAGCGACGCGGCGGGCCUGAGUGACGGCGACGAUUCCGGAAUCGGUGGAGCAUAUGAGAGAGCUGAGUGCUUUUUCCCGAACCGGUCUCUCCUAUUAUGACCAACGCUGGAUUCUGCCACACUAUUUCUAUGAUCUUCUUCUCGAAUUGCACGAUUGGAAGAUUGGCUAUCGAUUAGAUAUGGCAAGUUGUUUGUUUUUUCCAAUUUGAUAGAAAUUUUUAGGGUUCAAAGUUUAUUAUUAUUUUUAUUAUAUUUGAAAAUUGGUGUUUUGUUUAAAACAGGGGUUGGGCUUGAACCAUUGGAUGAAUGAGGUAAACCUAUGUCUCGCAGUUUGGGCGCGCCUUAACCGCUUUUUUCGGGUUGGCGGUCAACAGAGGUCACUUUCAUUGAGAUAAUGCAACGGUUAUAUUUAUCGAUCAAAUCUUUCUCCCUCUCGGUUGCUUGAGUUGGAAGAAUACCAGGUUAACCAGUAUAUAUGUAUCUCUCAGGCCGAUGAUCUCAUUAAAUUUAGCAAAUUCUACUUCUAUUCGGUUUCUCAAUCAUUCCCUGUUACAAUUCUUUCCUUUCCACCCAUCUCUGAAGUCUUUCUACUGUUUCUACUGCAUGGAACUACUCACUCUUGACGAUUUCAAGCACACAAAAUUUGAUCCCAACUGCACUCCUUUCCAUUACUUGCUAGAGGUUGCCAGAGUUGGCCAACAGAAACUGCACAACGGAGAAGAAAAGAAAAGGCAUGAUUCGUACUUGAAGUGUUUCCUGUACAAUGCACCACAACUUCAAACCCUGUGCGAAGAAGAGAAUAUGGGUUUCAAACAGGGGAAGAAUGUUGGUCUGAAAAGGAAACUCAAACUCAAAGAAGCAGAUGUUGAUGAAGAAUGGGGAGGACAGAAAUUGAAGAGAAGCAAGAAAGAGAAACUUGUUUGCGCAAUCCCUUCGCCAGACCUGCCCGAGAGCUUUAAACAACAUAUAGUUGAAAACAUGGGUGGCU
rnacentral:lncRNA from 1 species